GACGAACGCUGGCGGCGUGCCUAAUACAUGCAAGUAGAACGCACAGUUUAUACCGUAGCUUGCUACACCAUAAACUGUGAGUUGCGAACGGGUGAGUAACGCGUAGGUAACCUGCCUGGUAGCGGGGGAUAACUAUUGGAAACGAUAGCUAAUACCGCAUAAUAUUGAUUAUUGCAUGAUAAUUGAUUGAAAGAUGCUAUUGCAUCACUACCAGAUGGACUUGCGUUGUAUUAGCUAGUAGGUGAGGUAACGGCUCACCUAGGCGACGAUACAUAGCCGACCUGAGAGGGUGAUCGGCCACACUGGGACUGAGACACGGCCCAGACUCCUACGGGAGGCAGCAGUAGGGAAUCUUCGGCAAUGGACGAAAGUCUGACCGAGCAACGCCGCGUGAGUGAAGAAGGUUUUCGGAUCGUAAAGCUCUGUUGUAAGAGAAGAACGGGUGUGAGAGUGGAAAGUUCACACUGUGACGGUAUCUUACCAGAAAGGGACGGCUAACUACGUG
rnacentral:rRNA from 1 species